rnacentral:rRNA from 1 species
GACGAACGCUGGCGGCGUGCUUAACACAUGCAAGUCGAACGGCAAGGCCCUGCUUUUGUGGGGUGCUCGAGUGGCGAACGGGUGAGUAACACGUGAGUAACCUGCCCUUGACUUUGGGAUAACUUCAGGAAACUGGGGCUAAUACCGGAUAGGAGCUCCUGCUGCAUUGUGGGGGUUGGAAAGUUUCGGCGGUUGGGGAUGGACUCGCGGCUUAUCAGCUUGUUGGUGGGGUAGUGGCUUACCAAGGCUUUGACGGGUAGCCGGCCUGAGAGGGUGACCGGCCACAUUGGGACUGAGAUACGGCCCAGACUCCUACGGGAGGCAGCAGUGGGGAAUAUUGCACAAUGGGCGGAAGCCUGAUGCAGCAACGCCGCGUGCGGGAUGACGGCCUUCGGGUUGUAAACCGCUUUCGCCUGUGACGAAGCGUGAGUGACGGUAAUGGGUAAAGAAGCACCGGCUAACUACGUG